GACGAACGCUGGCGGCAUGCCUAACACAUGCAAGUCGAACGAGACCUUCGGGUCUAGUGGCGCCCGGGUGCGUAACGCGUGGGAACCUGCCCUUAGGUUCGGACUAACUCCCCGACAGGGAUGCUAAUACCGGAUCAUGUCUUCUGACCAAGGAUUUAUCGCCUUUGGUUGUGCCCGCGUUGGAUUAGCUUGUUGUUAUGGUAAAAGCCUACCAAGGCGACCAUCCAUAACUGGUAUGAGAGGAUGAUCAGCCACACUGGGACUGAGACACGGCCCAGAAUCUUACGGGAGGCAGCAGUGGGGAAUAUUGGACAAUGGGGGAAAGCAUGAUGCAGUAAUGACGGGUGAGUGAUGAAGGUAUGAGGGUUGUAAAGUUCUUUUAACCGGGAUGAUAAUGACAGUACCGGGAGAAUAAGCCCCGGCUAACUCCGUG
rnacentral:rRNA from 1 species